AUUAAUAUUAAAUAAGAGAUUAAAUAAGGAUAAGAGGAAGAAACUUAUUGCCUUCUUCAUCCAUCCUAGCCGGCCAACAACUUUCUCUAUUCUCUUUAGUUUCAUCUUCAUCCUUGAAACAAAAUUCAAGAUAAUCAAGUGUUGCUAAUCUUGAAUUAAACCUUGAGAAAAUUGUUUUUCCUCACUUCCAACAAGAAAUUCCUUGAAACACAAUACUUUUUCACCCUUCUUCUUCGCUGCUAGCUUUUAAAGAACGAGGAAGAGCUCUUGGUUGAUCAAUGUUGCUUUAAUCAAGUGCUUGUGUGGACAAGCCAGAAGACUAGCAAUUGAGAGUCUUCACUACCCGGAUUUAGUAGGAAUUAUUGAUUCUGCGUCUUGAGGGAACCAACUACUGCUGCUUUUUCCCCAAAAAAAAAUAAAAAAAAAAGUGUGCGGAGAGCAAUCACAAAUAGUAACUUACAAAUAGUAACUUGUAACUGUCUUGCUCUCUUGGAUCCAAAUAUCCCUUCUCCUGACAUCCCACCGGAACAGUGCAGCAACAACACUCGAUUGCAGGUGACUUACACAGUAGAUCAUUUCGAAGAUAUCCCAAAUGAUUUUUCGGCAGAUUUGGCAGAGAUGAGAAAUAUAAACUUGAUAUAAAAAAUCUAAUCAAAAUAGCAAACAAAAUAGCAUCCAAGUAUAUGGAUUCAUCUCAUGUGUCUAAUCAAUAUGGAAUUGAACAACGUGGUUAGGUUUUAUAUAUUUAUUUAUGUUUUAAUUUACAAUAGAAUUUAUACAGUAGGCAAUAAAAUGCACUCGAUUUUAUAUUUUAUUAAUAUUUGGGCACUCAAGUCAUGACCCUUGCAAAAUUAUUUCUUAGAAAUUUUAUUGAAACAGCAGAAUCAUGAACAAGUUGCAAUUCCAUUCGCUAUUUCUGAAAGCAGGGCUCAACAACAAAGCCAGACUAAGGGCUGGCACUGCAGUUAGGCCAAGUUACUGGCUUAGGGGGUAUCACCUUCAAUACAGGACUGCGUUCAAAGAAAUUAGUGGGUCGAAGCUCAAAUCCAGAGCUCAACGUUGGCAUCAACGGGAAGUCUUCUUGGCAAGGGACAUGAUGGAUUCCAAUGACAUACCAUAACACUAUGUCCUUGUUAUCAAUCUCCCUGUUCCUGCACAUUCAAACAAAAGAAAAACACGAAUUAUAAGAUCUUUAUUUAGUGAAAUAAUGUCUUCUAUAUAAUAUAAUAUUUAAUCAACAGAAGGCACCUGAGGCUCCAAACAGCUAAUGUAUCUUGGCCAUGGCUUUGAUCAACAUAGCGUCCUCCUGCCCAUUUUUCAGACUUGUUAUAUGGGGUAACCCACACAUUAUAUUGGGUAAAGGCCCCUCGGAUUUGUGGGUAA